rnacentral:rRNA from 1 species
UGGAGGGCAAGUCUGGUGCCACCAGCCGCGGUAAUUCCAGCUCCAAUAGCGUAUAUUAAAGUUGUUGCAGUUAAAAAGCUCGUAGUUGAACCUUGAACCUGGCUGGCCGGUCCGCCUCACCGCGUGCACUGGUCCGGCCGGGUUUUUCCUUCUGGGGAGCCGCAUGCCCUUCACUGGGUGUGUCGGGGAACCAGGACUUUUACUGUGAAAAAAUUAGAGUGUUCAAAGCAGGCCUUUGCUCGAAUACAUUAGCAUGGAAUAAUGGAAUAGGACGUGCGUCCCUAUUUUGUUGGUUUCUAGGGACGCCGUAAUGAUUAAUAGGGAUAGUCGGGGGCAUCAGUAUUCAAUUGUCAGAGGUGAAAUUCUUGGAUUUAUUGAAGACUAACUACUGCGAAAGCAUUUGCCAAGGAUGUUUUCAUUAAUCAGUGAACGAAAGUUAGGGGAUCGAAGACGAUCAGAUACCGUCGUAGUCUUANCCGUAAACUAUGCCGACUAGGGAUCGGACGAUGUUAUUAUUUUGACUCGUUCGGCGCCUUACGGGAAAC